rnacentral:rRNA from 1 species
AGAGUUUGAUCAUGGCUCAGAUUGAACGCUGGCGGCAUGCUUUACACAUGCAAGUCGAACGGUAACGCGGGGGCAACCCUGGCGACGAGUGGCGAACGGGUGAGUAAUACAUCGGAACGUGUCCUGAGGUGGGGGGAUAACCUAUCGAAAGGUAGGCUAAUACCGCAUACGCUCGGGAGAGGAAAGCGGGGGAUCGGUAACGACCUCGCGUCGCAGGAGCGGCCGAUGUCCGAUUAGCUAGUUGGUGGGGUAAAGGCUUACCAAGGCGACGAUCGGUAGCUGGUCUGAGAGGAUGAUCAGCCACACGGGGACUGAGACACGGCCCAGACUCCUACGGGAGGCAGCAGUGGGGAAUUUUGGACAAUGGGGGCAACCCUGAUCCAGCCAUGCCGCGUGAGUGAAGAAGGCCUUCGGGUUGUAAAGCUCUUUCGGUGGGAACGAAACGGUUACCACUAAUACUGGUGACUACUGACGGUACUCACAGAAGAAGCACCGGCUAACUACGUGCCAGCAGCCGCGGUAAUACGUAGGGUGCGAGCGUUAAUCGGAAUUACUGGGCGUAAAGCGUGCGCAGGCGGUGGCUCAAGCCAGGCGUGAAAUCCCCGGGCUUAACCUGGGAAUGGCGUUUGGGACUGGGUCGCUAGAGUGUGGCAGAGGGAGGUGGAAUUCCCGUGUAGCAGUGAAAUGCGUAGAGAUGUGGAGGAACACCGAUGGCGAAGGCAGCCUCCUGGGCCAGCACUGACGCUCAUGCACGAAAGCGUGGGGAGCAAACAGGAUUAGAUACCCUAGUAGUCC